UACGUAGGGAGCAAGCGUUGUCCGGAAUCAUUGGGCGUAAAGCGCGCGUAGGCGGCCUCAUAAGUCCGUUGUGAAAGUCAAAGGCUCAACCUUUGAAAGCCGAUGGACACUGUGAGGCUAGAGUCCGGAAGAGGCGAGUGGAAUUCCUGGUGUAGCGGUGGAAUGCGCAGAUAUCGUAAGGAAGACCAGUGGCGAAGGCGGGUCUCUGGACAGUUCCUGACGCUGAGGCACGAAGGUCAGGGGAGCAAACGGG
rnacentral:rRNA from 1 species